UACGUAGGGGGCAAGCGUUGUCCGGAAUUACUGGGCGUAAAGCGCGUGUAGGCGGGACGGUUAGUCGGACGUGAAAGGCUGGGGCUCAACCCCAGAUCGCCGUUCGAAACUGCCGUUCUUGAGGGUCGAAGAGGAGAGUGGAAUUCCUGGUGUAGCGGUGAAAUGCGUAGAGAUCAGGAGGAACACCCAUGGCGAAGGCAGCUCUCUGGUCGACAUCUGACGCUGAGACGCGAAAGCGUGGGGAGCGAACGGG
rnacentral:rRNA from 1 species